CGCGAUUGAGAAACGGCCACUGUCUCAAUUCAGGGGCUGCAGCCUACGCGGUCCACGGAGGACCCAGCCCACGUAGACCGGGUAGGCUGGACCGAGCGGCCUACGAAAUGUGACGGUCUAGCCUACGGACGCUUCCUAUUUACGUCACGUGAUACGCGCUGUUCUGUUGCGCUGCUCCAGCAGCCUCCUAGCAAAUUAGCUUACAAGCUAACUCAGCUGAAAAGGAUCCAGAAACUUUACUUUUUUACUUUAACCAUUUUCUGGAGAUCACCGUCGGCGAUGAAAUAAAGAGGACCAUGGGCAGCCCAGAUGAUGUCUCACUGACUCCAGAUCAGCACCUCCAGGUCCAGCAGCACCGUGACCCCCCGCUCUGCUGAAAUACACAAUUAAAACAUUUUCUAUGACCUAUUUUUUGUAUUAAUACAAUUAAACUGAACUUAAGACAGUUGAAUGACCUAGAGAUAUCCUAUUAUUCCACUGCUUAUGUACACAUGUUGUAAAUAAUGGUUAAAACCUCAGUGAAUGAAAUAAACGUGUUUAACAAUUACUAUUUUAAUUUGAUUUUGUAUUUUCAUCUAAUGACAAAGUAGAGGUAAGAAUAUAUCCAUCCUCUCUCUGCAGCUUCAUGUCUUCUAUUAUUAUAACUUUCAUCAUUGAGACAGAGGAAAUCAAUCAUGUUAUUUAACAUCACCAACAGUAAAAUAAAUAUCAGCAAAAGUGUG